rnacentral:piRNA from 1 species
UAUCAAUAUUUUACCUUGUGCUGUACCCU